UCCAGCUCUGUUGGUGGCACUAGCAUUCUUGUUAGCCGUCAUGGUCAUUUCUGCUCUCUCUGGAUUUGGAUACCUGCAAGAUACCAAAUUUCCAGCACUUCCCUAUCCAC